GUGAGGAGACUGACGCUGCCACUGCCGCUGCGCUGCUCCCCCAGUUAGCUCCACCAACGCACACAUACACACAUACACAUACAUAGAGAGAUAGGGAGACCCACCCGUUUACGUAUGCAAAGCCAUACAUAUCGGUGUAUGCACACACACAGACACACGCACAAGCACGUCUAAUAUAUAGAAGGCGCUCAACACGAAGCAGCACGUGUUGAUGGACGCAGAGCGAGACGCUACGACUUCUCCCUUUAUCAGAGAAAAGAAAACGGUACGCUCUUCGUCUGUAAAGUCGCAUAGACAGGAAUACACACACACACACACACUGCGCGCGCACGUCUUCCUCUUUCGCUGUGCCUUGUGACAGCCCUGUAGCCCAGUAACUAUUUCUCACCGCUACCAUCAUGCCCGCUAUGGCACGUCUCAGGGCGGUCAGUCCCUCGGUCAAAGCACGCGAAGCCACCGCCGUCUAUUCCGAAACGAAAUGCUUCCACGCCAAGGGUGCCGUGGUCGCGAUGGCUACAAGCCACAACAGCACCAUGUGGCUCGCGAUGCAGGACGGGCGUGUAGAGGUGCGCGACGUGCACACUGGCCAAGUCGUGCAUACCUUCGCCGUCGCCGGUGUGCGUCAGCGGCGCAACAAGGUGUGGUGCAUGCUUUCCGUCUACGACGUAGUCCAUCAGGAGGCGCAGCUGUGGAUGGGGAUGAGUUCUGGCGCGAUUGAGGUUUACACAGAAGACUACCAGCUGCGCCGGCAGCUCAGCAAGCAUCUCUCCGGUGUGUACUGCCUCGCCCAGUACCGCGGCGACGUCGCCUACGCGGGCUCGAGCGACUUCACCAUCACGCAGUGGCGCGUCGCGGAUGGGCGACUGCUGCGCGUUCUGGCAGGACACAGCAACUACGUCCGUUGUCUCUACGCCGAAGGCAACGCCCUCGUGAGCGGAUCAGACGACAGCACCGUUCGCAUCUGGGAUACCGCCAGCGGCGCGUCCCUACAGCAGUACAGCCACCUACACCGCGAGAGCGGCGGCGUCUCGGCAUUCUGCCGUGUGGGGACGGCAAUGUGGUCAGGCGACCAAAGCGGCGUGAUUGCGGUGUGGCGGCUGAAGGAUGGCAAGGUGCUGCUCGUGUGCCGCCAGGUGCAGGGGCGAGUCAUGUCUCUCCGCAAGGUGGGGGCGCGGGUGUACGCCGGUAGCGCUGAAGGCUGUAUUUACGUCUUCAACGCAGGGGACUGCACGGUCGUGAAUCGCCUCGAUGAUCACGUGGGCAGCAGCAUCUCCGCCAUCGCCUGCGCCGUGGAGGUGAACCGCUACUUUGUGUGGUCGGGCAGCGCAGACAACACGAUACAGUGCUGGCACCACGAUGAGCACCAGCCUAUGACAGCAGAGCGCGAGGGAGCUUUGGACAUGCGGUGGUAUUACACAACGCAGCUGCCGUACCUGCAGGCAAACGAGGCGCUGCUGGAGCAGCAGCGAGAGCUGGCGGAGCUCAUGGUCCUCGCCAGCGGCUCCGACGACGCUGUGCGUAGUUUCUUGGACAGCCUAGGAGACGGCCGUGAGACGGCUGCCGCGCGGUACUGGCUCCUGGACGGUAAGGUAAAGCAGAUGCAGAAGCGGUACGACACAACGGAGGAGGCGACGCGCGCGAUCGACGCCGCGGUAGAGCGGAAGACACACACGUUGGAAGUCCUGCGCCGACAGCUAGCUCGCUUGACGGAAACCCUCAGCAGCGCCAAACAGCGGCCGCCGGUGCCUUCCUCUAGUGUCGCCGCCGUUUCAGCCGUGCCGGGAGGAGCAUCAGUCUCGGCCUCCCCAACUGCUACUGAGCCCCCCGCAGUGCUUGCCGGGGUGGCGCCACCCCUGGUCACCGUUUCGCCGCCACCAGAUCUGUCGGCGUUGUCCACAUCGUCACCUCUAGGCACCGCCGUGCCGUCUCGGCCCUCUACGUUUGUUUCUGCUCUCCCCUGUGCUCCUUCACCGCCCCCGCUGCAGACGGCGGUGGCUUCUGCCCCGCUGCCGCCGCCGCGGCCCAAGGUGCCCGCGCCUGAGCGCACCUCCUCCGCGCCGUGUAUUGUGACGGAGGCACAGGUGACCCUCAGUCGCAGCUACGAGCCGGUGCUCAGCUCCCUGCCGCCACCGCCGAAAGCGGCGGUCCCCCCGCCCCCCGUGGCAGCAGUGCCGCCCCCUCCACCUACCCGCGGCAUGGGAGCGCUUGGCGAGUUGCCCGCGGAAACCAGUGCACCACCUCUGACUCGCCGGAUGUCAUUUUAGCGUUUCAGCACGUGCCGCGAAGAGCGGCCGGCGCACACAAGGAGAGCGAAACGGGAGAGCCUCAGACGGAGGCGGGACGCAGCGGCAUACGUGUGAGUGGUGUGCGCAGGUGGACCGAUCCGACCAUUCUCUCUUCUCAUGUGCACCGUCCGCUUCGCUCUUAUACACCCUUAGAGGAAGAUAAAUGCUGUGCGUCUGCGAGGAGGCGGAGGCGGGCAGUGGACCUCGUGCGCCCCCCUCCCUCUCCCGUCUUCUCCCUCCCCCUUGCGUGCGUUUUGUAUUUUGUUAUCCCACUCAUCCCACCCCCUCGCCCUCCGCGUGUCGUGCACACAGGACUCUGUGUCUGUGUGUGUGUGUGUGUGUGUGUUUGCGUGGCGAUGAAUAGCCGCGGACGCGGCGUGACGCAACCAGAGUGUUCUGCAUAUGCAUAGGUGCUGCGCCGCUUUGGUGCACGGCUCGACUUCACACAUGGCCAUGGAUGGCACGCACAUGAAAAGGGCUCAUGUCGUGGUGAAAGCAUAUGUCCCUUUCCAGCACUUCUGCUUCUUCUCUUCUUUGCCUUAUCGAUCCUCUUUCCGUGUCUGAUGUACGCCGGCGUGUUGCUCUGUCUUCCUUGUGGACGGCGGGUCAAUGUAUGUGGGCAACAUGCGGUGGCAUACGUGAGUGCGUCCCCUGCCAG
rnacentral:misc_RNA from 1 species